GACGAACGCUGGCGGCAUGCCUAAUACAUGCAAGUCGAGCGAACAGAUGAAGUGCUUGCACUUCUGACGUUAGCGGCGAACGGGUGAGUAACACGUAAGGAAUCUACCUAUAAGCGGGGGAUAACAUUCGGAAACGGGUGCUAAUACCGCAUAAUAUCUUCUUCCGCAUGGAAGAAGAUUGAAAGACGGCUCUGCUGUCACUUAUAGAUGACCUUGCGGUGCAUUAGUUAGUUGGUGGGGUAAGGGCCUACCAAGACGAUGAUGCAUAGCCGACCUGAGAGGGUGAUCGGCAACAUUGUGACUGAGACACGGCCCAAACUCCUACGGGAGGCAGCAGUAGGGAAUCUUCCGCAAUGGGCGAAAGCCUGACGGAGCAAUGCCGCGUGAGUGAAGAAGGCCUUCGGGUCGUAAAACUCUGUUAUAAGAGAAGAACAAAUUGUAGAGUAACUGCUACAGUCUUGACGGUAUCUUAUCAGAAAGCCACGGCUAACUACGUGCCAGCAGCCGCAGUAA
rnacentral:rRNA from 1 species